rnacentral:rRNA from 1 species
AUCUACGGCCGCACCUAGGCGAAAACACCAGUUCCCGUCCGAUCACUGCAGUUAAGUGAAAACGUUUGAGGGUCCCGUAGGUGGUUGGAGACAACAUGGGAAUCCGGUGCUGUAGGCU